CAUGGGAUGCCUACCACAGCAUGGCUUUUGCCAAGUGGUGCCAUGUACGCACCUGGCGAAUCCCGGGCCGCCGAGAAGCAGAAUGUGCGAACUUAACUGCUGUGCCACCGGGCUCGCCCCCCUAUGCCUAGUUUCUGGAGCUGGAUGUGGCACCUGUCCCCAGACGCCUGGUUUCAGGGAUGAAGCCCUAAACGCCUACAGGAAAGAGCUACUCAUUCUCAGCAGUGUGCAAACACAAUCCGGAUGUCCACUUGAUGGGAAAACUGCGGGGCUGGACAGAUCCUGCCCCAGUAUAAGGCUGAUUUGGAUGCAGGGGCCUCUGGGUUUCUCUGAUUCUCCGCCUCUUCCCCGAUGGCCUGCAUCUUCAGAGGAAUCCUGUCCUGUUGGUCGCCUUUGUCCACUCUCUCACCUUUCUGCCUUCAGAGUAAAUAACUGCAUGACCUGUGGCACCUACUGGGAUCUGAUAGAGACCACAUCUAUGCAACUGGGUGUCCAUGUGCUGUGUGUGACUUCUGCUUGGCCAUACUGGACAGUGCCACUUCUGAAUGGCUGCUUACCUGUCUCACUCAGGAAGCUGUCCAUAACCUCCUGGAAGAGGUGGCUAGAUGGCCAAGUAAGGCCUUGAAUUCUGAGCUCAGUAGUUUGAACCUUUCCUGUGGGCUAGGGGACCCAUGGAAGGUUUUUGAACAAGUGAGUGGCAAGUUUGGAGCAGACGGAACAGAAAAGUGGACCCAUGCACUGGGGAUUUCACAGGCUCUCUUGUGUAUACCCCUUCCACGUGGGAAACAAGAGUAAAUGAGGAGAGAGUGAGGAGCUAAGAGCAGGUUUUGCACUGAAAUCCUGGCUUGGCUGCUGUCAGCCCAACUUUCAGUGAACCGGGUCUUGGUUAGUUGUGGUUUUUCCAAAUCCAUCUUGCCUCACAACCUUUUAGCUGCAGCUCUCUCUCCACUUAUUGCCUCAUUCACUCAACAUUUCACAGUUCAAAUUCCCAAGAAAAGGAAUCAGAUUGGUCUAGAUCAGGCUACAUUGACCUGCCUAUGAGUUGUCUAGCUUGAAUCAAGACUUUACCCUUGACCAAGAUGUAUGCGCACUGUAACAGAGUGUGUCUGAAGGAAGAGUGGACAAGCACAAUGAUUGACAUUUCUGGCAAACCCUGUGGUAGAUUGUAUUAUUGUUCCAAAUAUAUAGUCCUUCCUACAGGGCCCCUCCCUAAAGGAAGAUUAUAAUAGGCUUGGCUAUAUGACUUGUUUUGGCCAAUGGAAUGUGAGUAGAAAUGUAACAUACCACUUCCAAACAGAAGUUUUAAGCACCACUCGUAGUCUGGCAGCUUCCCCUCUCUUUUCCCUCUGCCAUGAGCCUGGCAAUUUCUAGAUCAAGACUUCUUCAGUCUGGAACCCAGAAUUAAGAUGACAUGAAGCUGAGCUGUAGUCCACCUGUAAAAUGAUGUGUGAUGUCAGUGAGAAAUAAACUUCUCUUGCUGUGAACA